AUUGAACGCUGGCGGCAGGCCUAACACAUGCAAGUCGAGCGGAUGAAGGUAGCUUGCUACCUGAUUCAGCGGCGGACGGGUGAGUAAUGCCUAGGAAUCUGCCUGGUAGUGGGGGACAACGUUUCGAAAGGAACGCUAAUACCGCAUACGUCCUACGGGAGAAAGUGGGGGAUCUUCGGACCUCACGCUAUCAGAUGAGCCUAGGUACGAUUAGCUAGUUGGUGAGGUAAAGGCUCACCAAGGCGACGAUCGUUAACUGGUCUGAGCGGAUGAUCAGUCACAAUGGAACUGAGACACGGUCCAGACUCCUACGGGAGGCAGCAGUGGGGAAUAUUGGACAAUGGGCGAAAGCCUGAUCCAGCCAUGCCGCGUGUGUGAAUAAGGUCUUCGGAUUGUAAAGCACUUUAAGUUGGGAGGAAGGGCAGUAAGUUAAUACCUUGCUGUUUUGACGUUACCGACAGAAUAAGCACCGGCUAACUUCGUGCCAGCCGCCGCAGUAAUAC
rnacentral:rRNA from 1 species